AUCAACUUUCGAUGGUAGGAUAGAGGCCUACCAUGGUGGUAACGGGUAACGGGGUGUUAGGGCACGACACCGGAGAGGGAGCCUGAGAAACGGCUACCACAUCCAAGGAUGGCAGCAGGCGCGCAAAUUACCCAAUCCCGACACGGGGAGGUAGUGACAAUAAAUAACAAUACGGGGUCCUUUCGGGUUUCGUAAUUGGAAUGAGUACAAUUUAAAUCUCUUAACGAGGAACAAUUGGAGGGCAAGUCUGGUGCCAGCAGCCGCGGUAAUUCCAGCUCCAAUAGCGUAUAUUAAAGUUGUUGCAGUUAAAAAGCUCGUAGUUGAAUUUCGGGAUUAGUGCGCCGGUCGUGCCUUCGGUAUGUACCGGUGUUACUGGUUCCUACCUUCUGACGAACCGUCAUGUCAUUAAUUUGGUGUGGCGGGGAAUCAGGACUGUUACUUUGAAAAAAUUAGAGUGUUUAAAGCAGGCUCGCGCUUGAAUACAUUAGCAUGGAAUAAUGAAAUAGGACGUUCGAUCCUAUUUUGUUGGUUUCUAGGAUUGACGUAAUGAUUAAUAGGGAUAGUUGGGGGCAUUAGUAUUCAAUUGUCAGAGGUGAAAUUCUUGGAUUUAUUGAAGACUAACUACUGCGAAAGCAUUUGCCAAGGAUGUUUUCAUUAAUCAAGAACGAAAGUUAAGGGAUCGAAGACGAUCAGAUACCGUCGUAGUCUUAACCAUAAACUAUGCCGACUAGGGAUCGGAUGAUGUUAUUUUUAAUGACUCAUUCGGCGCCUUACGGGAAACCAAAGUGUUUGGGUUC
rnacentral:rRNA from 1 species